rnacentral:lncRNA from 1 species
ACUGUGCCCUGCGACGCUGCGCUGAUGACCAGCCGCCAUCAAUCCUGGACCCCCCCAGACCAGGUGCAGUUUGAGAAGUGUGGCAAGAGGGUGGAUCGGCUGGAUCAGCGUCGUUCCAAGCUGCGCGUGGCUGGGGGCCAUCCGGGCAACUCACCCUGGACAGUCAGCUUGCGGAAUCGGUGAGGCACAACUGCCUGUCUCCCACAGAGAGGAGCUGAGGUUGUGUCCUCUGUGGUUAUGCCACUGGGGGCUGGGAAUCUAUCCCUGCCCCCAGAGGUCCUAGCCAGAAGAUGGCAGGUCUAGCAUCUGUCCCAGGAGUCUGUUCCCUGUCCUAAUUCCCCACUCCUCUAGGCAGGGCCAGCAUUUCUGCGCGGGGUCUCUAGUAAAGGAGCAGUGGAUACUGACUGCCCGGCAGUGCUUCUCCUCCUGGUGAGCCUCCCUUGUGUUUGGGGACCCAGUCUCAUCCCACUUUCCCCUUUCCCCAGGCAAGCUAACAAGUGAGCCUUGGGGCAACGGACUGAGAGUCACAAAUGACCUAGCAGAGCUUCUCUCCCAGCCAUAUGCCUCUCACGGGCUAUGAGGUAUGGUUGGG